CCUACGGGAGGCAGCAGUGAGGAAUAUUGGGCAAUGGAGGCAACUCUGACCCAGCCAUGCCGCGUGAGUGAAGAAGGUUUUCUGAUUGUAAAGCUCUUUCGGCUGUGACGAUGAUGACGGUAGCCUCUAAAGAAGCCCCGGCUAACUUCGUGCCAGCCGCCGCGGUAAUACGAAGGGGGCAAGCGUUGUUCGGAAUUACUGGGCGUAAAGGGAGUGUAGGCGGUUUAGUAAGAUAGUGGUGAAAUCCCAGAGCUUAACUUUGGAAUUGCCAUUAUAACUAUUAGACUAGAAUUACAGAGAGGAGAGUGGAAUACCCAGUGUAGAGGUGAAAUUCGUAGAUAUUGGGUAGAACACCAGUGGCGAAGGCGACUAUCUGGCUGUACAUUGACGCUGAGGCUCGAAAGCAUGGGGAUCAAACAGGAUUAGAUACCCUUGUAGUC
rnacentral:rRNA from 1 species